rnacentral:misc_RNA from 1 species
GGGUUUUGUGCUUUUGUAAGUUUGAGAAAGAGGAAAAAGAAAAAUGGGAAGGGGUAGGGUUGAGCUAAAGAGAAUAGAGAACAAGAUCAACAGGCAAGUGACCUUUGCUAAGAGAAGAAAUGGGCUUUUGAAGAAAGCUUAUGAGCUUUCAGUUCUUUGUGAUGCUGAGGUUGCUCUAAUCAUCUUCUCUAAUAGGGGAAAACUCUAUGAGUUCUGCAGUAGUUCUAGCAUGCUAAAGACGUUGGAGAGGUACCAGAAGUGCAACUAUGGAGCACCUGAACCGAAUAUAUCAACACGAGAAGCACUGGAAAUUAGUAGCCAGCAGGAGUACUUGAAGCUUAAAGGACGUUACGAAGCAUUGCAGCGAUCACAGAGGAAUCUUCUUGGUGAAGAUCUUGGUCCUUUGAACAGCAAAGAACUUGAAUCACUUGAGAGACAACUUGAUAUGUCGCUCAAACAGAUCAGAUCAACUCGGACUCAGUUAAUGUUGGAUCAACUUACAGAUUAUCAGAGAAAGGAACAUGCAUUGAACGAAGCCAACAGAACCUUGAAACAAAGGUUGAUGGAAGGAAGCCAACUAAAUCUGCAGUGGCAGCCAAAUGCACAAGAUGUGGGCUAUGGCCGGCAAACAACUCAAACUCAGGGCGAUGGCUUCUUUCAUCCUUUGGAUUGUGAACCUACUUUGCAAAUUGGGUAUCAGAAUGAUCCAAUUACAGUAGGAGGAGCAGGGCCUAGUGUGAAUAACUACAUGGCUGGCUGGUUGCCUUGAAGGCUCACGAUUCUGAUCAUAACAUUAUUAUAAAUAUGCUCAAUGGUUUUCCUAUCAUCAUAAACAUUGAAUAUCUCCUAAUUUCUGUAUGUUGUUUGAGAAAAUGUUUCAUCCUGGACCUAACGGGGAUCCAUAAGACAAUCCCGUUAUUGUUAGUAAAUCAUAAACUAGAUUUCUUUGAGUGCUUAAUCAGUUGACUUAUGUUCC